UAAUCAAGUGCUGCCUCUUAUCUAGAUUAUAUUUAAGAGCAGAUAUUACUGUUACAUAGUAAGGAGACUAACAUACAGGGUUUUGAAGGUUUUCGAUCCUCUAGAGGGUUUCAGAGAUUUACAUGAGUAAAGUAUGAAUAGAAAAAAGUAAAGAAAAAACAGUAGUCUCAGCCUGCUAUGAAGUUUCUGUUAUAAUGUCCUAACUUUUUAGUUUGCAAUUUUAUAGAAUUCCUGGAGAAGACUGCUCAGUUCAUACAAACCAAACUUUUUGGGACUGGUCACUGCCCACUUGCUGGGUUUUCAAUGAGCAAGACAAGUUUUCCUCAACAGCUGCCUCCUGUUCCUCGUCAUGUGAUUGUGAAACAGCUGGCUGCACGUACGACAACAUCCAAUAACCAAACAGCAGGCUGCACAUAAGACAACAUCCAAUAAGUUGCUGGCACCUCUAGUGCUCCUGACUUGCUUUGUUCAUUGUGCUCAGGGAGCCACAAUAUGAUUUCAGUUGUGCCUCAUUCUUCAAAAUGGAAUUAUAUGAAU
rnacentral:lncRNA from 1 species